CUAGGCUACAGACGGAGGACUGGGUUUCUUAUUUGUGCCUAG
rnacentral:sRNA from 1 species